CACCGCCCGUCACACCAUGGGAGUUUGUUGCACCAGAAGCAGGUAGCUUAACCGCAAGGAAGGCGCUUGCCACGGUGUGGCCGAUGACUGGGGUG
rnacentral:rRNA from 1 species